rnacentral:rRNA from 1 species
GACGAACGCUGGCGGCGUGCUUAACACAUGCAAGUCGAACGGAAAGGCCCUGCUUUUGUGGGGUGCUCGAGUGGCGAACGGGUGAGUAACACGUGAGUAACCUGCCCUUGACUUUGGGAUAACUUCAGGAAACUGGGGCUAAUACCGGAUAGGAGCUCCUGCUGCAUGGUGGGGGUUGGAAAGUUUCGGCGGUUGGGGAUGGACUCGCGGCUUAUCAGCUUGUUGGUGGGGUAGUGGCUUACCAAGGCUUUGACGGGUAGCCGGCCUGAGAGGGUGACCGGGGUCAAGGGGACGAAGGGAGGGACCAGAGGGGAACGGGGGGCAGCGGGGGGAAGUAUGGAGAAGCGAGGGGGAGUGAGAGACGGAGGCGCGGGGGGCGGAAAGAAGGCGUGGGGGGAAAGAAAAGCUGUGGACGGAGACGAAGAGGGGGGGACGGGAAUGAAUAAAGAAGCAAAGGCUAACGACGUG